AUACGGAGGGUGCAAGCGUUACUCGGAAUCACUGGGCGUAAAGCGCGCGCAGGCGGUCUUUUAAGUUGGAUGUGAAAGCCUACGGCUCAACCGUAGAACUGCAUCCAAAACUAUUAGACUAGAGUGUGGGAGAGGAAGAUGGAAUUAGUUGUGUAGGGGUAAAAUCCGUAGAGAUAACUAGGAAUACCAAAAGCGAAGGCAAUCUUCUGGAACACUACUGACGCUGAGGCGCAAAAGCGUGGGGAGCAAACAGGAUUAGAAACCCGAGUAGUCC
rnacentral:rRNA from 1 species